AUUGAACGCUGGCGGCAGGCCUAACACAUGCAAGUCGAACGGUAGCACAGAGAGCUUGCUCUCGGGUGACGAGUGGCGGACGGGUGAGUAAUGUCUGGGAAACUGCCCGAUGGAGGGGGAUAACUACUGGAAACGGUAGCUAAUACCGCAUAAUGUCGCAAGACCAAAGAGGGGGACCUUCGGGCCUCUUGCCAUCGGAUGUGCCCAGAUGGGAUUAGCUUGUUGGUGAGGUAAUGGCUCACCAAGGCGACGAUCCCUAGCUGGUCUGAGAGGAUGACCAGCCACACUGGAACUGAGACACGGUCCAGACUCCUACGGGAGGCAGCAGUGGGGAAUAUUGCACAAUGGGCGCAAGCCUGAUGCAGCCAUGCCGCGUGUGUGAAGAAGGCCUUCGGGUUGUAAAGCACUUUCAGCGGGGAGGAAGGCGAUACGGUUAAUAACCGUGUUGAUUGACGUUACCCGCAGAAGAAGCACCGGCCAACUCCGUG
rnacentral:rRNA from 1 species